rnacentral:tRNA from 1 species
GCCUGAGUGGCUCAGUCGGUUAAGUGUCUGACUUUGGCUCAGGUCAUGAUCUCAUGGUUUGUGGGUUCAAGCCCCACAUCGGGCU